rnacentral:lncRNA from 1 species
GAGGCAUGGCAGAUUAGAGCUCAGAGAGUCUGCCAAAAGAUAAAAGUCUAAGGAGAUUGUGAAGGAAUUCUAUUUCUUGCCCAAUGAUGCAGUAGUUGUAUCUUUGAACAUUGCAAACUAUGAUGUAUGUCGUAUCUUGGUAGAUAAUGGAAGCUCAACUGAUGCCUUAUUCUAUGAUGUGUUCUCCAAUAUGGUUAUUCCCUU